rnacentral:rRNA from 1 species
CACGGAUAACAUACCGAAAGGUAUGCUAAUACGAGAUAAAAUACUUUUAUCGCAUGGUAGAAGUAUCAAAGCUUUGCGGUACAGGAUGGACCCGCGUCUGAUUAGCUAGUUGGUAAGGUAACGGCUUACCAAGGCGACGAUCAGUAGCCGACCUGAGAGGGUGAUCGGCCACAUUGGAACUGAGACACGGUCCAAACUCCUACGGGAGGCAGCAGUGGGGAAUAUUGCACAAUGGGCGAAAGCCUGAUGCAGCAACGCCGCGUGAGCGAUGAAGGCCUUCGGGUCGUAAAGCUCUGUCCUCAAGGAAGAUAAUGACGGUACUUGAGGAGGAAGCCCCGGCUAACUACGUGCCAGCAGCCGCGGUAAUACGUAGGGGGCUAGCGUUAUCCGGAAUUACUGGGCGUAAAGGGUGCGUAGGUGGUUUCUUAAGUCAGAGGUGAAAGGCUACGGCUCAACCGUAGUAAGCCUUUGAAACUGGGGAACUUGAGUGCAGGAGAGGAGAGUGGAAUUCCUAGUGUAGCGGUGAAAUGCGUAGAUAUUAGGAGGAACACCAGUUGCGAAGGCGGCUCUCUGGACUGUAACUGACACUGAGGCACGAAAGCGUGGGGAGCAAACAGGAUUAGAUACCCUGGUAGUCCACGCCGUAAAC